UACGAAGGGACUAGCGUUGUUCGGAAUUACUGGGCGUAAAGCGCACGUAGGCGGAUUUGUUAGUCAGGGGUGAAAUCCCGGGGCUCAACCUCGGAACUGCCUUUGAUACUGCAAGUCUCGAGUCCGAUAGAGGUGGGUGGAAUUCCUAGUGUAGAGGUGAAAUUCGUAGAUAUUCGGAAGAACACCAGUGGCGAAGGCGGCUCACUGGACUGGUAUUGACGCUGAUGUGCGAAAGCGUGGGGAGCAAACAGG
rnacentral:rRNA from 1 species